UCCGAUAUGGGUGUCAGGAAAUCAACUACGGGUUAUGGACAAAGGAUGAAUGAGUUUUUUUUCUUUUUUGAAUGAUAUGCAAUGCAUGAUGGCGAAUGAAAAUGAAAUGGUAUGUGAAUGUAUGCAAUGCGGGUAUAGUUAGGAACUAGGAUAACAUGACUAACUCAAAACAUACCUACUUAAUUAGGCUUCCCUAUAAUGGACAGUUAUAGUCUUUCAACCCACAAACCACUCAUAUGAUAGAUUUUAGGUUUUGGAUAAGGUUCCCAGAGUCAUGGACAAUAAUCGUAUUUGCGUCAUGCAACAUGCUAGCCACUUUAUGACAAGAGUGACAAAAAGGUCUAUU
rnacentral:lncRNA from 1 species